CUCAGACCCCAGCUAUCGAACGUCCAUUCGUGCAAAUAGACCUAAUAUUCGAAAAGUUGUAUAUUUCAAUAUAAAUUGCCGGUUCUGCUGAAAGGGAUAAUCCACUUAACGGUACAUUCCAGUAGGAGGAUCCCUCUCGUGCAGCAGUGCCUGAUGGGAGAAAUGCUCUGUACUGUAAGCUCCCCACGUAGUCCACCCCUGGAAUACCCCUGGGAUAGGACUCAGGAAACCCCUUGCAUGGGGAAUUGUAUAAAUUGUGGAGCCUGUGAAUAAAGCCUUCAGUUGACUCUCAGAACUGUGUUUCGUCCGGUUACUGUGAGAUUUGGGAUAUUGCUUUGCUUUUCAGCACUUGACUGUGGAUUACCUUCUGAACCAGCGGAGAUCGUGG